rnacentral:rRNA from 1 species
AAAUUGAAGAGUUUGAUCAUGGCUCAGAUUGAACGCUGGCGGCAGGCCUAACACAUGCAAGUCGAACGGUAACAGGAAGCAGCUUGCUGCUUUGCUGACAAGUGGCGGACGGGUGAGUAAUGUCUGGGAAACUGCCUGAUGGAGGGGGAUAACUACUGGAAACGGUAGCUAAUACCGCAUAACGUCGCAAGACCAAAGAGGGGGACCUUCGGGCCUCUUGCCAUUGGAUGUGCCCAGAUGGGAUUAGCUAGUAGGUGGGGUAACGGCUCACCUAGGCGACGAUCCCUAGCUGGUCUGAGAGGAUGACC